rnacentral:rRNA from 1 species
UACGUAGGGUGCAAGCGUUGUCCGGAAUUAUUGGGCGUAAAGAGCUCGUAGGCGGUUCGUCGCGUCGGCUGUGAAAACCCGGAGCUCAACUCCGGGCCUGCAGUCGAUACGGGCGGACUUGAGUGUUGCAGGGGAGACUGGAAUUCCUGGUGUAGCGGUGAAAUGCGCAGAUAUCAGGAGGAACACCGAUGGCGAAGGCAGGUCUCUGGGCCACUACUGACGCUGAGAAGCGAAAGCGUGGGGAGCAAACAGG